rnacentral:rRNA from 1 species
GACGAACGCUGGCGGCGUGCUUAACACAUGCAAGUCGAACGGAAAGGCCCUGCUUUUGUGGGGUGCUCGAGUGGCGAACGGGUGAGUAACACGUGAGUAACCUGCCCUUGACUUUGGGAUAACUUCAGGAAACUGGGGCUAAUACCGGAUAGGAGCUCCUGCUGCAUGGUGGGGGUUGGAAAGUUUCGGCGGUUGGGGAUGGACUCGCGGCUUAUCAGCUUGUUGGUGGGGUAGUGGCUUACCAAGGCUUUGACGGGUAGCCGGCCUGAGAGGGUGACCGGCCACAUUGGGACUGAGAGACGGCCCAGACUGCUACGGGAGGCAACAGUGGGGAAUAUUGCACAAUGGGCGGAAGCCUGAUGCAGCAACGCCGCGUGCGGGAUGACGGCCUUCGGGUUGUAAACCGCUUUCGCCUGUGACGAAGCGUGAGUGACGGUAAUGAGUAAAGAAGCACCGGCUAACUACGUG